rnacentral:lncRNA from 1 species
UUCUAAUUCUGACUCUGACAUUAAUUCGCAGGCCAGGUCCCUCUGAGUUCAGUUGUUCCAUAUGAUGACAGGGGUAAUACUCCCUACCCUGAGAAGCUGUUUGCAGAAUUAUUUGACUUUAAUAAGGCCACCCUGGUGGAGUGCAGUGGACAGCACAGAGCAAAGCUCUGCACAGCAAGGCUGGGCCUGCGGCCACGGUUACUGAGUCCAGCAGGGCCAGGGGAAGGCCCCGGCAGGAUCCUCACCCACACUUCCAGUGGGGUGGCUCCACCUGGGCCACACCCCAGACAAGGCCCUGCCUCUGAGCAGCCCAUUCUCGGCAGCGUCACAGGGAGGGCAGAUCCCAGGCCUCUGCCAAAUGCCCUGCCAGCCCCUCGGCCUGCCUCCCUCCCGGCCAGGAGCCUGUACCUGCAGGUCAGGGUGCUGUAUCACUUACGUGUCACCUGGGCUGAGAACAGCAAGGCCCUGUUCUCCAGUAAGAACCUGCACCCAACCCGCGCCCUGGCUGCCCCACAUGGCUCCUGUUACCCAAACAAUAACACCGAGUCGCCUGGCACUUCCAUGGAGUGGGGAGGAGGAAAACGGGCAGCACUCCUUAGGCCUCCGUACCCUCUCAGGCCCAGAAAGCAGAGGCCAGAACCCAGCCCUGGCCAGUGGAGAAACAGAGGUCCAGAGAGGCUAUGGACUGACUGAGGAUCACACAGCAAAUUCGAGGUGAAGCUCCUGGAGAAAUCACAGCCCCCCUAAACCAAGGAAAUAAGCCUGCCUUUUUUUCCUCUCAAAGUUCAGGUGCAGUAGGACUAAAACUGAAUUGAGUUUCCUGUUUAAACCUGGUCCCUGCCUCAGGAUUUCCCAGAGAAGCAGGAAGCAGUGCCCUGGACUGGGAAUUGAAUUUCUGGGUGUCUGCCUUCCCAACUAGUAUAACCCACAGUAAGUCCCUCCCUGGCCUCUCCCAGUCCACCUUCCUCUAGGGAGGCCUAGGUCUCAAGGGUGUGCCAGGACAAAGGAAUUUACCUCUGAGCACCGCCCCCAACCCCUUGUGCCCCAGUCCUAGAGGGUGGGCAGCCCGUGGCUAGGGGCUGCAGAGGGCCGUGUUCCUCAGUUCGGAGGGUGAGUCAGCGGGAGAACUUCUGAGCUGUGCAGGGCCUGUAAAAACCCCAUGGCAGGGAUCCCAGAGCAAUUUACUCCAAAUUGCGCCUUCAGGUUGGUUACCUAAUCUUGCCGCGCCCACCCUCCAAUAGCCAGUGUCAGCGGUGACCAUCCCUUUAAAGGGGCAGCACACUCCGGGUGCUGGGGACCCAGGAUCCUCACUCAGCUCCCAACCAGCGGCCCUGAGGGGCAAGGCACUUGGUGGUUGCCCCAGGUAAGAGAGGGCAGAGGAAGGGAUCUAAGUGGGGAGGGGUCCAAGCCCCAGCCAGAAGAAAAUCACUUUGGGUCUCAGGCUCUCUGAGGUUUCCAUCAUCUCCCUCAUAUCCCCACAUCCCCCCUGGAAAGGCAGUAUCACCUACUGUCCUUCCCAUAAUGAGGCUGAGGGGAAAGUUUUCUCCAUCUGCCAGUUCAAGGGCUUGACCUUGACCCUGGGGGGCACAGGAAGAGCGGGCCUUCUGCAAGGUUAGGGCCUAAACCACAGUAUCCUCAGGAGGCAAAAGUUGCUUUUGGGAGAAGAUAGGCAGGCAAAGGCCAAAUUCCCUAGAGGCCCAACCCUUCCUAUGGGAGGGGGCAGGAACCAAGGACCUCCUCAUCUCCAGGAAUAAUUUUCUCAAAGGUCUAAGGACUUUUCCCCAUUCUUUUCUCUCCAGCCUGGGAGAGGUGACACAGGCGUCCUCUGACCCUAGCCUGAAGCAAAGAAAACCAAGGGUUUCAGCCCCAGACGGGCAGAGUCACCCCAAAUUCCACAACUGCGACGAUCAAGAAGGGAAUCCUUCUAAGGUCAGCAGCGGAGACGCCGGGAGCUCUUGGGGUAGGGCCGCUGUGAGACAUCAAGAAGUUGGCAGGGGGCGCGGGGGAGGGGGGCUCCCAUGACCCUCGUCUCGUGGAAUCCAAGACAUCUGGCAUCCCAGCCCAGGUCCGUCUGCCCUAAUGAAGGAACCUCCGACGGCUCCGGGUACAGGUCCCAGGUGUGUAUGGGGUGAGGCGGGGGUCAGAUCUAAGCGCAGCACAG